rnacentral:tRNA from 1 species
GCAUUUGUAGCUCAGUUGGUUAGACCACAUGUUUACUAAGCAGGGGUCUUGAAUUCGAUUCUCAACGAAAGCA